UUCAGCCUCGCCGCGGAGGCAGAGACGGGGAGGGAGGGGAGGAAUUCCUGACACAAAGCCGUCGGUUUAAAGGUGGCUUGUCAUUUACGAGGAAGGAGCCAGAGGUUACCGAGGCGGCGCUUUGACACUCACCACCUCUGGGUUAUUUUAAAUUUAUUAUUUAUUAAUAUUAUUCAUGGAUCAGAGUUCAAGGGGGAACGGAGUUUUCUUUCUUUCUUUGCAUGCUGCAAGCGGCUGUGUAGUAUAGCUCACGCCGUGUCUGCAUGGUGAAAGGGUGAAUUUUAUUCGCCUUCUGCCCCCCUCCGCUGCUUCCUUCUGCUUACCGGAGUGGGAAGUUAGCUGCCAGGCUCUCUGUUUAUUGUGCUGCCAGAAAGAAGCUCCAGCUUCAGCGUGCAUAAUAAUACAAUUUAGCAGGCUAAGCUACAGAGCUAGUCGCUGCUGCUACUGUAGCCAUAAGAUAGAGAGGGACAGAGGAGCAUGGACACUACAGUGACACGCUGCAUACUGAGAAAUAAAUAAAUAAAAUUAUAUAAACAUAAUAUUAGUUUAACUACUACAGUGCAGCCUUUGCAUCAUAUUUUAAUCCGCCAAGGUUAUUUUUUUCUUAUAUAUCUAUAACUUUGGUCGUGAUGAUAAAAAUAGUGCAGAAAAUGUCCAGUUUUAUUUUUUCCUUUUACUACUUUCCAUUUGAUCUUUAAACUAGACAGUUUGCACCUAUUCUUUAGUAAUUUUAAAUUGCAUAUUGCUACUUAUCCUGAAAUUUUAAAUCCGAAUAAGUGUUUUUGACAUUCCCACACUCAGAUAAAAUCCGAUUAGCAUGUAUUUGCAUUAAUCUAUUUUCAAAUAGAUUAAAAAAAUAUAUUUUUUUUCAUCUGCAGUAUCAUCUUUGCAAAUUGACAGAAAAUGUAAAUCAAUGUUCCUGGCAGUUUUCAGCACUUAAAGCUCAGAUAAUACUCUCAAAAAUUUGACUUUAAAUGGUAAACCUGGCCUUUAAGAAAUGAAAAAAUCUGAAAUUUUGGGAUUAUUUGCUAUUAAUGCCCAGUGUACACAGGUAGAAACAUAAAGUUGCCCCCAAGGGUUGAGGGAAGCCUCAGUGAAAUUUAUAGCUUUCCUUUGAAGUUAAAUCAACCUUAAAAGCACAGUUCUCGAUUCACAUGCUGUAAUGUUUCUAUUUAAAUAACUUCAAUGUACAGGUUUCAUGACGCCAAUCUGAAUAAAUGUGUUUUCCUCAUUCUAAAAUUAACUACAUGCAUCAUAGGAAGUAGCAUCCAGCUGACCCAGAAAACAUAAAUCCAUGAUUUUUUUUAUGAAAAUGGGCCAGUUUUGAGAGGUUUGCUUCAACUUAUUCACUGCAUCCUUUCGAUUUACGUCUUAUGGGGGGAAAAAAGGCUGAUUUUUAUUUAUUUUUUGACAUUUUUUACCCUUUGACGUGUGGGAGCAUGAGGACGUCUGGUAUAAAACACCCACGGUAGCCACGUUGCCACAGUUAGGAAGGUCAGAGUGAAAGGAGGCGCGCAGGACAGCCGGACUGCAGCGUGUGUUGGUCGAGUCGGUCGGUUGGCCGGGAAGCCACAGCCGGCCCCGCUGCCGCUCCUGCUGCUGGGAGACUUCCUGGGCUUACCGAGCGGCUCCGAAGGAUGACCGCCGCACAGCUCGUUGCUGAAUCCCGGUGAACGAACGGCGUCUCAUGUCCAAACGGCGGAAGGAUGGCUCAUGGCAAAGUGACCAUCACGGUGGACGAGUACAGCUCCAACCCCACGCAGGCCUUCACGCAUUACAACAUCAACCAGAGCCGCUUCCAACCUCCACAUGUCCACAUGUAAGUGCACAAGCAUUUAUUUUACAAGUUGGAAACUUUUGCCUGAUGUCUAGCACACCCGCAGGUUCAGACAAUACAAAAAUAAACUAGGGCUGAAACAAU